UGAGGAAUAUUGCACAAUGGGCGCAAGCCUGAUGCAGCAACGCCGCGUGAGGGACGAAGGCCUUCGGGUUGUAAACCUCUUUUCUGAGGGACGAGGAAGGACGGUACCUCAGGAAUAAGUCUCGGCUAACUACGUGCCAGCAGCCGCGGUAAAACGUAGGAGGCGAGCGUUAUCCGGAUUUACUGGGCGUAAAGCGCGCGCAGGUGGCUUCGUUAGUCGGACAUGAAAGCUCCUGGCUUAACUGGGAGAGGCUGUUCGAUACUGCGGGGCUUGAGGUUGGGAGAGGGACGCGGAAUUCCCGGUGUAGUGGUGGAAUGCGUUGAUAUCGGGAGGAACACCAGUGGCGCAAGCGGCGUCCUGGCCCACACCUGACGCUGGGGUGCGAAAGCGUGGGUAGCAAACAG
rnacentral:rRNA from 1 species